UAUGACGUAUUAAAAAAACUACUUACUAGAUCUCGUUCAAACCAAUUUUCGGUGGAAGUUUGCAUGGUAAUGUACAUCAUAUAUUUUUUUUAGUUUUAUCAUUCUCUUAUUUUAGAAGUUACAGGGGGGGACCUAUCCAUAGAUACCCCACACGUAUAGGUUUGAUGAAAAAAAAAUUUUGAGUUUCAGUUCUAAGUAUAGGGAACCCCAAAAAUUUAUUGUUUUUUUUCUAUUUUUGUGUGAAAAUCUUAAUGCGGUUCACAGAAUACAUCUAAUUACCAAGUUUCAACAGUAUAGUUCUUAUAGUUUCGGAGAAAAGUGACUGUGACAUACACGGACAGACGGACAGACAGACAGACAGACAUGACGAAUCUAUAAGGGUUCCGUUUUUUGCCAUUUGGCUACGAAACCCUAAAAAAAAACAGAUA